rnacentral:snoRNA from 1 species
AAGACUAUACUUUCAGGGAUCAUUUCUAUAGUAUGUUACUAGAGAACCUUCUGUUUCUAAAUCCAAUAUUCUAUCCACUGUGCCACCUUCCAAACCACAAAGACAUUGUUUUUUCAGUCAACCCGGCUUUGACCUAGCACGUUAUGAUUGGG